GAAGAAGCGCAUACGGUGGAUGCCUUGGCAGUCAGAGGCGAUGAAAGACGUGGUAGCCUGCGAAAAGCUUCGGGGAGUCGGCAAACAGACUUUGAUCCGGAGAUGUCUGAAUGGGGGAACCCAGCCAUCAUAAGAUGGUUAUCUUGUACUGAAUACAUAGGUGCAAGAGGCGAACCAGGGGAACUGAAACAUCUAAGUACCCUGAGGAAAAGAAAUCAACCGAGAUUCCCUUAGUAGUGGCGAGCGAACGGGGACUAGCCCUUAAGUGGCUUUGAGAUUAGCGGAACGCUCUGGAAAGUGCGGCCAUAGUGGGUGAUAGCCCUGUACGCGAAAAUCUCUUAGUCAUGAAAUCGAGUAGGACGGAGCACGAGAAACUUUGUCUGAAUAUGGGGGGACCAUCCUCCAAGGCUAAAUACUACUGACUGACCGAUAGUGAACCAGUACCGUGAGGGAAAGGCGAAAAGAACCCCGGAGAGGGGAGUGAAAUAGAUCCUGAAACCGUAUGCGUACAAGCAGUGGGAGCCCACUUUGUUGGGUGACUGCGUACCUUUUGUAUAAUGGGUCAGCGACUUAUUUUCAGUGGCGAGCUUAACCGAAUAGGGGAGGCGUAGCGAAAGCGAGUCUUAAUAGGGCGUCUAGUCGCUGGGAAUAGACCCGAAACCGGGCGAUCUAUCCAUGGGCAGGUUGAAGGUUGGGUAACACUAACUGGAGGACCGAACCGACUAAUGUUGAAAAAUUAGCGGAUGACUUGUGGCUGGGGGUGAAAGGCCAAUCAAACCGGGAGAUAGCUGGUUCUCCCCGAAAGCUAUUUAGGUAGCGCCUCGUGAACUCAUCUUCGGGGGUAGAGCACUGUUUCGGCUAGGGGGUCAUCCCGACUUACCAACCCGAUGCAAACUACGAAUACCGAAGAAUGUUAUCACGGGAGACACACGGCGGGUGCUAACGUCCGUCGUGAAGAGGGAAACAACCCAGACCGCCAGCUAAGGUCCCAAAGUC
rnacentral:rRNA from 1 species